rnacentral:rRNA from 1 species
AUUGAACGCUGGCGGCGUGCUUAACACAUGCAGGUCGAUCGGUAACAGGUGUAGCAAUACAUGCUGACGAGAGGCGGACGGGUGAGGAAUAUUUGGGAAUCUGCCCAUCAGCGGGGGACAACCCGGGGAAACUCGGGCUAAUACCGCAUACGCUCUACGGAGGAAAGCCGGGGACCGCAAGGCCUGGCACUGAUGGAUGAGCCCAAAUCGGAUUAGCUAGUUGGCGGGGUAACGGCCCACCAAGGCGACGAUCCGUAGCUGGUCUGAGAGGACGAUCAGCCACACCGGAACUGAGACACGGUCCGGACUCCUACGGGAGGCAGCAGUGGGGAAUAUUGGACAAUGGGGGAAACCCUGAUCCAGCGACGCCGCGUGGGUGAAGAAGGCCUGCGGGUUGUAAAGCCCUUUCGGUAGGGAAGAAAUCUCUUGUCUUAACACGGCAAGGGUUUGACUUAACCUACAUAAGGAGCACCGGCUAACUCUGUGCCAGCAGCAGCCGCGGUAA